AUGAUAGAGUAGUUGCAGUUCGUUUUCUAUGUAUCUAUCUAUUUCUCUAUCUGUGCCAGCUUAGACCUAGUGGAAAAACCGGCGGCGUCGGCGGCCGAACCCACUGGGAACUAUAUUUAUAUAGUUCUCACCCCGUGUGGUUUUGGGGUACAGGUACACACAGAGGCGAGUCGAGCGAGGAUCGCUGCAAGGGCAUAGCGCCCUAAGUGAGC
rnacentral:lncRNA from 1 species